rnacentral:tRNA from 1 species
UAGAGAGUGGUGUAGUGGAAGCACCUGGGGUUUUGAUCUCCUGAGUAUGGGUUCGAUUCCCUUCUCUCUAG